GUGCCAGCAGCCGCGGUAAGACGAACCGUGCGAACGUUGUUCGGAAUCACUGGGCUUAAAGGGCGCGUAGGCGGGUCAGCAAGUCCGGGGUGAAAUCUUUCGGCUCAACCGGAAAAGUGCCUCGGAUACUGCUGGUCUUGAGGGAGGUAGGGGUUUGUGGAACUUCUGGUGGAGCGGUGAAAUGCGUUGAUAUCAGAAGGAACGCCGGUGGCGAAAGCGACGAACUGGACCUCUUCUGACGCUGAGGCGCGAAAGCUAGGGGAGCAAACGGGAUUAGAAACCCGCGUAGUCC
rnacentral:rRNA from 1 species